rnacentral:rRNA from 1 species
UCUGGUUGAUCCCGGCGGAGGCCACUGCUAUCGGAGUUCGAUUAAGCCAUGCGAGUCGAGAGGUGCAAGACCUCGGCAUACUGCUCAGUAACACGUGGACAACCUACCCUAUGGAGGGGGAUAACCCCGGGAAACUGGGGAUAAUACCCCAUAGACUAUGGAUGCUGGAAUGCUCUGUAGUUGAAAGGUCCGCCGCCAUAGGAUGGGUCUGCGGCCGAUUAGGUUGUUGUUGGGGUAACGGCCCAACAAGCCUGUAAUCGGUACGGGUUGUGGGAGCAAGAGCCCGGAGAUGGAUUCUGAGACACGAAUCCAGGCCCUACGGGGCGCAGCAGGCGCGAAAACUUUACAAUGCGGGAAACCGUGAUAAGGGAACUCCGAGUGCCCGUAAAAUCGGGCUGUCCAUCUGUUUAAAUAACAGGUGAAGAAAGGGCCGGGCAAGACCGGUGCCAGCCGCCGCGGUAAUACCGGCGGCUCGAGUGGUGGCCACUAUUACUGGGCUUAAAGCGUUCGUAGCUGGUCUGUUAAGUCUCUGGGGAAAUCUACUGGCUUAACCAAUAGGCGUUUCAGGGAUACUGGCAGACUAGGGACCGGGAGAGGUGAGGGGUACUCCAGGGGUAGGAGUGAAAUCCUGUAAUCCUUGGGGGACCACCUGUGGCGAAGGCGCCUCACCAGAACGGCUCCGACAGUGAGGGACGAAAGCUGGGGGAGCAAACCGGAUUAGAUACCCGGGUAGUCCCAGCCGUAAACGAUGCGCGUUAGGUGUAUCGGUGACCACGAGUCACCGAGGUGCCGAAGAGAAAUCGUGAAACGUGCCGCCUGGGAAGUACGGUCGCAAGGCUGAAACUUAAAGGAAUUGGCGGGGGAGCACCACAACAGGUGGAGCCUGCGGUUUAAUCGGACUCAACGCCGGAAAUCUCACCGGAUAAGACAGCUGUAUGAUAGUCGGGCUGAAGACUCUACUUGACUAGCUGAGAGGAGGUGCAUGGCCGUCGUCAGUUCGUACUGUGAAGCAUCCUGUUAAGUCAGGCAACGAGCGAGACCCA